rfam:Felis catus isolate Cinnamon breed Abyssinian chromosome D2, whole genome shotgun sequence.
GCCUGGGUGGCUCAGUUGGUUAAGCAUCCGACUUCAGCUCAGGUCACGAUCUCACGGUCCGUGGGUUCGAGCCCCGCAUCGGGCU